GAUGAAGAACGUAGCGAAAUGCGAUAAGUAAUGUGAAUUGCAGAAUUCAGUGAAUCAUCGAGUCUUUGAACGCACAUUGCGCCCCCUGGUAUUCCGGGGGGCAUGCCUGUCCGAGCGUCAUUGCCGCCCUCAAGCACGGCUUGUGUGUUGGGCCCCCGCCCCCCGGCUUCGGGGGGCGGGCCCGAAAGGCAGCGGCGGCACCGCGUCCGGUCCUCGAGCGUAUGGGGCUUCGUCACCCGCUCUGUAGGCCCGGCCGGCGCCCGCCGGCGACCCCAAUCAAUCUUUCCAGGUUGACCUCGGAUCAGGUAGGGAUACCCGCUGAACUUAAGCAUAUCAAUAAGCGAAGGA
rnacentral:misc_RNA from 1 species